rnacentral:rRNA from 1 species
AUUGAACGCUGGCGGCAGGCCUAACACAUGCAAGUCGAACGGUAACAGGAAGAAGCUUGCUUCUUUGCUGACGAGUGGCGGACGGGUGAGUAAUGUCUGGGAAACUGUCUGAUGGAGGGGGAUAACUACUGGAAACGGUAGCUAAUACCGCAUAAUGUCGCAAGACCAAAGAGGGGGACCUUCGGGCCUCUUGCCAUCGGAUGUGCCCAGCUGGGAUUAGCUAGUAGGUGGGGUAACGGCUCACCUAGGCGACGAUCCCUAGCUGGUCUGAGAGGAUGAGCAGCCACACUGGAACUGAGCCACGGUCCAGACUCCUGCGGGAGGCAGCAGUGGGGAAUAUUGCACAAUGGGCGCAAGCCUUAUGCAGCUAUGCCGCGUGUAUGAAGAAGGCCUUCGGGUUGUAAAGUACUUUCAGCGGGGAGGAAGGGAGUACAGUUAAUACCUUUGCUCAUUGACGUUACCCGCAGAAGAAGCACCGGCUAACUCCGUG